CAUGCUAGGAACAGGAGGAGAACCUUGUCCUAACAUGAGCAAAGUCGAAGACCCGAUUAUUUUCAGACCGGAUGGGGGGAGAGGCUCUCGCAACAGCCCAUAUGUGAUCCCACAGCCCUGUUAGGAAUAGGAGGAGAACCUCAUCCUAACCUGAGCUGAAAUCGACUAUAUCAAGAACAGGAGGAGAACCUCAUCCUGACGCCAACUA
rnacentral:lncRNA from 1 species